UACAGAGAGGGCGAGCGUUAUUCAUCCUAACUGGGCGUAAAGGGUUUGUAGGCGGAUUUUUAGAAAAGGCUAAAUUGUUAAUUACUGCAGAGUAGGUAGACUUUUUUAGCAGCGAAAAUCUUGAGAUAAAAGGAAGCUAUUAGAACACACUAGGUAAUCUAUUUAGUAAAUAUCGUACUAGUGGAGAACACCAAUCGCGAAGGCACGUAGCUAAUUUUAUCUGACGCUAAGAGACGAAAAUGUGGGGAGCAAAAGAG
rnacentral:rRNA from 1 species